ACUGCUAUUUGGGUGAGGAUAAGCCAUGCGAGUUGGAUGGGAUACCUAAAGUUCCCAUAGCAAACUGCUUAGUAACACAUGAUCAACUUGCCCUAUGGAGAAAACUAACCUCGGGAAACUGAGGAUAAUGUUUCAUAGUUGAAUAGGCUUGGAAAAGUUUUUCAAUGAAAGGAAUAAGAUAAAUGGUUCUUAUUUGCCAUAGGAUAGGAUCGUGGUCGAUUAUGGUAGUUGGUGAGAUAACGGCUCACCAAGCCGAUAAUCGAUAGGGGCCGUGAGAGCGGGACCCCCAAGAUGGGUACUGAGACAGCGACCCAGGCCUUACGAGGCGCAGCAGGCGCGAGACCUCCGCAAUACACGAAAGUGUGACGGGGUUACCCAAAGUGUUCUCUUAAGAACUGUGGUAGGUGAGUAAUGUCCCCUGCUAGAAAGGAGAGGGCAAGGCUGGUGCCAGCCGCCGCGGUAAAACCAGCUCUUCAAGUGGUCGGGAUAAUUAUUGGGCUUAAAGUGUCCGUAGCCGGUUUAGUAAGUUCCUGGUAAAAUCGGGUAGCUUAACUAUCUGCAUGCUAGGAAUACUGCAAUACUAGAGGGCGGGAGAGGUCUGAGGUACUACAGGGGUAGGGGUGAAAUCUUAUAAUCCUUGUAGGACCACCAGUGGCGAAGGCGUCAGACUGGAACGCGCCUGACGGUGAGGGACGAAAGCCAGGGGAGCGAACCGGAUUAGAUACCCGGGUAGUCCUGGCCGUAAACGAUGCAUACUAGGUGAUGGUACGGCCAUGAGCCGUAUCAGUGCCGUAGGGAAACCGUUAAGUGUGCCGCCUGGGAAGUACGGUCGCAAGGCUAAAACUUAAAGGAAUUGGCGGGGGAGCACCACAAGGGGUGAAGCCUGCGGUUCAAUUGGACACAACGCCGGGAAACUUACCAGGGGAGACAGUAGAAUGAGGGUCAGGUUGACGACCUUACCUGAUGAGCUGAGAGGAGGUGCAUGGCCGUCGCCAGUUCGUGCUGUGAGGUAUCCUGUUAAGUCAGGCAACGAACGAGAUCCGCACCUUUAUUUGCCAACAAGAAGUUACGACUUCGUUGGGAACACUAAAGGGACCGCCGUCGAUAAGGCGGAGGAAGGAGCGGGCAAAGGCAGGUCAGUAUGCCCCGAAACCCCUGGGCUACACGCGGGCUGCAAUGGUAUGAACAAUGGGCUGUAACUCCGAAAGGAGAAACCAAUCCCGAAAUCAUAUCACAGUGGGGAUUGUUGGCUGUAACCCGCCGACAUGAACGUGGAAUCCCUAGUAAUCGUGUGUCAUCAUCGCACGGUGAAUACGUCUCUGCUCCUUGCACACACCGCCCGUCGCUCCAUCCGAGUGUACUAAAAAUGAGGUUUGGUCAGACUGGUCAUAUCGAGUUUCUAGUAUGCGAGGAGGGAGAAGUCGUAACAAGGUA
rnacentral:rRNA from 1 species